CUAUGGAAUUUAAUAGCAAAUGAUCACCUUUCUGUAGGACUUUUAAAUUAUCCCAUAGGUUUCUAUAGCAAGUAUACAAUUCUCUGUUAAAUUCCACAGGAUGGUUCAAACACGCUGUGACGCUGGCAGACCAGGUGCCAGCUCAAGCCAAGGCCCCUAGGUUUCAUGAAGACUAACAAAUGCAUAGCUGGAAAACAGUCUGACUCACCUGUGUGCUAGCAUUGCUAAAAUAGAUUUAAGUUUUCAAUGUGUUCUAUGUU